GCAGCAGCAGCAGCAGCAGCAGCAGCAGCAGCAGCAGCUGGUUACUUCUCACCCUGGUUGUAUAAGGUCAUUGCCAUUUGCUCACAAGGUGCAACGUCCACCGCUGUCGUCUGUGUGGAGCUAACAGAGCUGUCUCUGUGUCCUCUCGUCCUCCUGUCAGGUCUGCACUGGGACUGUUAAACCGUUAAAUCCCUGGAAAUUUCCCCUCAGAGCACGUUUCGCCCUCUCUCUCUCUGCCAGGACCUGUUUAUUUAUCCUUCUCAGCAGUUUUCAGUAGUUUCAUGAUGGACGUUGAGAAGAUAAUCUUAGUCAGACGUGUCUGAUAUUAUCAUUUGGUGAUUGAUUUAGAGUCACAAGCUGAAUGGGCCUGGUCUCUUCCUCUCAUGAGUCAUUCUUGACAUUUUUCUUCAGAGCCAAACAAAAUAAAGGAGCUUCCCAGUGCACUGACAAAGAAUUUGUGUCUGCACAGAUCUGUGGGAUGAACUGGAAUUGUGUGAUUCUGCCGCACAACAGAAUCCAAAGUCUUGUGGCGAGACUUUUGCAAAAGAUUCGGCAGCUGAAACAGACACAGAUCGAGCCCUUUGUGGUUUUGAGAUGACAAGUUCAACUCGUUUUUCAUACAUUUGGUCAUGAAGUGCAGCUCUCUGAUGCUACAUAAAUGCUAUAAUAAAACAUGAGAGACAUGAGACACUUCCA